GAGGAAGAAGAUGAUAUAUCCCAAUAAACACAUAAGCUUAUGGCAAGUUUGUAUUUGARUUGAUUUUGAUACUCUAUUAUAAGCCUGCAAUUUUAASUUGUCCKCUC
rnacentral:rRNA from 1 species